rnacentral:rRNA from 1 species
UAUUGGUCAAUGGCCGCAGGGCUGAACCAGCCAAGUCGCGUGAGGGAUGACGGUCCUAUGGAUUGUAAACCUCUUUUGUCAGGGAGCAAAGGGCGCCACGUGUGGCGCUUUGCGAGGACCUGAAGAAACAGCAUCGGCUAAAUACGUGCCAGCAGCCGCGGUAAUACGGAGGAUGCGAGCGUUAUCCGGAUUUAUUGGGUUUAAAGGGUGCGCAGGCGGAAUGUCAAGUCAGCGGUAAAAUUUCGGGGCUCAACCCCGUCGUGCCGUUGAAACUGGCGUUCUUGAGUGAGCGAGAAGUAUGCGGAAUGCGUGGUGUAGCGGUGAAAUGCAUAGAUAUCGCGCAGAACUCCGAUUGCGAAGGCAGCAUGCCGGCUCCACACUGACGCUGAGGCACGAAAGCGUGGGUAUCG